UACAGAGGGUGCAAGCGUUGUUCGGAAUUACUGGGCGUAAAGCGCGUGUAGGUGGCGAUGUAAGUCGGGUGUGAAAUCCCUUGGCUCAACCAAGGAAGUGCACUCGAUACUGCGUCGCUUGAGUACUGGAGGGGAUGGCGGAAUUCCCGGUGUAGCGGUGAAAUGCGUAGAUAUCUGGAGGAAUACCGGUGGCGAAGGCGGCAUCCUGGACCGACAUUGACGCUGAGGAGCGAAAGCUAGGGGAGCAAACGGG
rnacentral:rRNA from 1 species